GGGAGGAGCUUAUGGGUGGAAAAAGGGCCCAAAGUUUGAGGGCGGACCUGAGGCAGAUUUUGCGGUACUAAGGGAACCGAGAGGGAAGUACAAAGACCCGGAAGGAUGAUGCCACGAUUAUUCCCCUUCAGGAAUGGUUCAGCCCAACCGCCUCAAUCUUUCACCGUUAGCUGCACUACUUAAAGACACGGUUCUGCCCCGACGUCCCUGCCUGGCUUGAGCAGCUUUUGGCCUCCAGCAUCCAUCCUGUAGUCUAGGCCUCAAACAAAGUUGGACAAAGCCAGGUUGGGAAAGGAUUCCUGGCAUAAUGACACCCUCUUUCUGGUUGCAUAUAAUGGUCAAAGACAAUCCUAGGAGUGCUGGCAGUUAUGAAGUGGUCCAAACUAAGGAUGAAGCACUGAGAAACAAACCAAGCAACUAGAUCAAGCCUCACC